rnacentral:rRNA from 1 species
CAGCCGCCGCGGGAAUACGUAGGUGGCAAGCGUUGUCCGGAAUUAUUGGGCGUAAAGGGCUCGCAGGCGGGUUCUUAAGUCUGAUGUGAAAGCCCCCGGCUCAACCGGGGAGGGUCAUUGGAAACUGGGAAACUUGAGUGCAGAAGAGGAGAGUGGAAUUCCACGUGUAGCGGUGAAAUGCGUAGAGAUGUGGAGGAACACCAGUGGCGAAGGCGACUCUCUGGUCUGUAACUGACGCUGAGGAGCGAAAGCGUGGGGAGCGAACAGGAUUAGAUACCCCUGUAGUCCCUGUCUCUUAUAC